rnacentral:rRNA from 1 species
GAUGAACGCUGGCGGCGUGCCUAACACAUGCAAGUCGAGCGGGAUCUUUUUAAAUGACGCUUCGGUUGAUUUUAAAAAGUGAGAGCGGCGGACGGGUGAGUAACGCGUAGGCAACCUGCCCUUUGCAGAGGGAUAGCCAUUGGAAACGAUGAUUAAAACCUCAUAAUGCCAGACUGAGACAUCUCUAACUGGCCAAAGAUUUAUCGGCAAAGGGAUGGGCCUGCGUCUGAUUAGCUAGUUGGUGGGGUAACGGCCUACCAAGGCGACGAUCAGUAGCCGACCUGAGAGGUGAUCGGCCACAUUGGGACUGAGACACGGCCCAGACUCCUACGGGAGGCAGCAGUGGGGAAUUUUCCGCAAUGGGCGCAAGCCUGACGGAGCAAUGCGCGUGAAUGAAGAAGGUCUUCGGAUCGUAAAGUUCUGUCAUCAAGGAAGAACAGUAGUGAUGUGAAUAAUGUCAUUACCUGACGGUACUU